AGGGAGGUUGAGCAUAGGGAGAAAAAAACAGGAACAAAGUUGAUAAGACGGUUCCAAAGUUCACCUGCAGCACACUUGGGGAUGGGUGCUCCUCUCCCUAAGCUGGUCAGAGAUGGUUCAGGUCGUGGGUAGGAUAUCCUAUGAAGCCCAGAGCCGCUCACCGAUACCCGGAGGAUUGGGACUUGGUCUCUUCUUGUGUCUUCAUUGAUUUUGGACCUGGACCACUCCUGUUUUUUUAUUUGACUGGAGUCGUAUUUACUACACAUCACAUGGUGGGUUCUCCCUGAGGAAAUCAGGACAAAGGAGUACAGACAGUGGGAACGGGAUUUUAAUCUCACUCUUCUUACUCCUCAAGCCCAAUGGAUAUGUGGCCUAGGAAGGUCGUGGUGCUUCUCCUGUACUGCUAUGGUUGUUCAGCCAUUGGUGAAGGGAAGCCAUACUUAAUCUCUAGGAAUUUCAACACUGUGCUCCACUGGAACAAGCUCGAGAGUCCAGAUGAAGGGGCCCUUUACAGUGUCCAUUACAAAAGACUCGGAGAGCCAUACAAGCCGAAGAUUGAGUGCCAGAACAUCACCACUCUUUCUUGUGACCUCACUGCAGAGACACCAUACAUCUAUCAAAAUUCCUACUAUGCUGAGGUUUUCGCCAACAAUCACUCACUAGGCCGUACAGCACUGUUUAAACCUCUGAGAGACAGUAAGCAAUUUCCUCUCUUUAUCCUACUUUUUCUAGAUUGGGAGGUUUUUUGAUUAUGUGUUGGCUCAGAGGGCAGGAUCCUUAGUUGUGAUACAUACAAAUAGCGCCAACUGUCUGUUCAUAUUCCCUAAUGACAUCAAUAUAAACUGCUCUAAAAAAUAAAGGGAACACUUAUACAACACAAUGUAACUCCAAGUCAAUCACACUUCUGUGAAAUCAAACUGUCCACUUAGGAAGCAUCACUGAUUGACAAUAAAUGUCACAUGCUGUUGUGCAAAUGGAAUAGACAACAGGUGGAAAUUAUAAGCAAUUAGCAAGACACCCCCAAUAAAGGAGUGGUUCUGCAGGUGGGGACCACAGACCACUUCUCAGUUCCUAUGCUUCCUGGCUGAUGUUUUGGUCACUUUUGAAUGCUGGCGGUGCUUUCACUCUAGUGGUAGCAUGAGACGGAGUCUACAACCCACACAAGUGGCUCAGGUAGUGCAGCUCAUCCAGGAUGGCACGUCAAUGCGAGCUGUGGCAAGAAAGUUUGCUGUGUCUGUCA
rnacentral:lncRNA from 1 species